rnacentral:rRNA from 1 species
UACAGAGGGGGCAAGCGUUGUUCGGAAUUACUGGGCGUAAAGGGCGCGUAGGCGGCCAUCUAAGUCGAACGUGAAAUCCCCGGGCUCAACCCGGGAACUGCGUCCGAUACUGGUUGGCUUGAAUCCGGGAGAGGGAUGCGGAAUUCCAGGUGUAGCGGUGAAAUGCGUAGAUAUCUGGAGGAACACCGGUGGCGAAGGCGGAUCUCUGGGCCUUACCUGACGCUGAGGCGCGAAAGCUAGGGGAGCAAACAGG